rnacentral:rRNA from 1 species
CAAGUCGAGCGAGAAGACGUAGCAAUACGUUUGUAAAGCGGCGAACGGGUGAGGAAUACAUGGGUAACCUACCCUCGAGUGGGGAAUAACUAGCCGAAAGGUUAGCUAAUACCGCGUACGCUUCUUGGACUUCGGUUCAGGGAGGAAAGCGAUAUCGUGGGUAUCGCGCUCUUGGAUGGGCUCAUGUCCUAUCAGCUUGUUGGUGAGGUAACGGCUCACCAAGGCAUCGACGGGUAGCUGGUCUGAGAGGACGAUCAGCCACACUGGCACUGCGACACGGGCCAGACUCCUACGGGAGGCAGCAGUAAGGAAUAUUGCGCAAUGGGCGAAAGCCUGACGCAGCGACGCCGCGUGGGGGAUGAAGGUCUUCGGAUUGUAAACCCCUUUCGGGAGGGAAGAUGGAAUGGGGUAACCCAUUUGGACGGUACCUCCAGAAGCAGCCACGGCUAACUUCGUGCCAGCAGCCGCGGUAAUACGAAGGUGGCAAGCGUUAUUCGGAUUUACUGGGCGUACAGGGAGCGUAGGCGGUUCGGUAAGCCCUCUGUGAAAUCUUCAGGCUUAACCUGGAAAAGUCGGAGGGGACUGCUGGGCUAGAGGACGGGAGAGGAGCGCGGAAUUCCCGGUGUAGCGGUGAAAUGCGUAGAGAUCGGGAGGAAGGCCGGUGGCGAAGGCGGCGCUCUGGAACGUUUCUGACGCUGAGGCUCGAAAGCGUGGGGAGCAAACAGGAUUAGAUACCCUGGUAGUCCACGCCUUAAACUAUGAAUACUAAGUGUCGGCGGUUUACCGCCGGUGCCGCAGCUAACGCAUUAAGUAUUCCGCCUGGGAA